AGUGUGAUCAAUUUCGGCCUUAAUAAAGUUAACAAUCGGAAAGUACCUAAAUCACUCCCUGUGAUAUUGUAGAGGCAAUGGUGCAUCCAAUUGACAACGGUAGUUUCCCCAAUUUUGACUCCGAGUUGAUUAAGGUCUGUGAUGUGUCCGAUUUUGCCUUCAAACGGUUGAAACUCGAACGGAAGUCCGAAUGAGUUGGCGAAUUCGGUGAGUCGACGGCCGGUGGAUUCGAGUAAUUCCAUGGAGGAUCCGACGCCGGUGAUUUUGAUGGAACGGAGCUUUCUCGAUCGAGAGGAGAGGAUUUGGAACAAUCCUGGCCAUUGAAGACCUUGCAUGAUGUCGAGAUCGAU
rnacentral:misc_RNA from 1 species